rnacentral:lncRNA from 1 species
UUGGCCCACAGUGUUCUUAUCUUAUAGAACACACAAUUAGCCAGUGAAAAACUCAUAACUAGUCUAUCUAGUGGAGAAAAAUUCUUGUGGGCAGUUUGAAAGCCUCUAAGAGAAGAUUAUGAAGUUUGGAACCAGAUGCCAGGAGACACGAGGAAGGCUGUAGAUGCUUUGAACUUGUCUACUGGAGGAAUAUGCUAUGUUGUGUACUUCAUCUCUAUGAAUAUUUAGCAAGGAUUUCUACUGAACGUUUGCAGUAAUAAAAAGUAUGCCAUCAGUUUUAAUAAAGAGACACCCACUUCAAUUACUAUUUGUUACAACACUUCCAGUAUCACUUGUGACAAAUUUCAAUUAUAGUUGAAAUCCAAAGCAUAAUCCAGUUCAGAGAGACACAUGGAAGUGACCCUUGAGCUUUAUUUUGUUAAGUUAAAGUUAAAACAUUGCUUUUAUUUCAUCAUGUCGACAAA